UCCCAGCUUGGGAUUAAUAAAGUCACUUAAAUUAAAAAAAAAUUAAAAAAUGGUUUGACAGAUUGCCUGAGUUCCCCUGCAAGCAGCUCCCUAUCCACUGGGGAUACUGAAGGGGACUCUGAUGACACCAUAAUAUAUCUGCCACAAGACAGAGAGCUGAAAACACCUCUGUUACCCAAUGCUAGUUUGUGUGUAGGACACACAAGUCCUUCAAGGUGUGUCAAAGGGGACUAUGCAAAGGGGAUCAUCAACUUGUUCCCAUACCUGGCUGAUCCAAGGAUCAAGUUUGGUUAUGAGCAUUUUUACAAUGCAGAAGAUGGGAGUGGGUAUCUGGCUUGGAGACUGAAGUUUGUCCAAAAGGAAGUGCCUGAUGGACAAAAGAAGGCCAUGAGACUGUCAAGAACACAAAUCGGUAUGUGUUAUUGUUACCUGUAACCAAACUGCAUACAUGAUGAGAAUCAUGGCAGAGUCCCCAAGUGUUGUUUAUUAAAUCCUAGGACACUGUCAUAUCCAUAUCCACUGUUACAGGGGGCUCAUCAGCUGAAAGAGACUUGAGGGAGGACAAUUGCCUAAUGACAGACAGCUUGUGUUCUGAGGCCAUUGCACUGAUGAAGCAUACAGCUGAUGAAGGAAUUGUUAUGACGAAGAUGAAGUCACAUUGCUUACAGUUGGCAGACAUUUGACCCCAAAAGACUGAUCACUGGACCAGGUAAAAUGCUACCUUUUGCAUUGGACUGGGACUGUAAGGUAGCAGAGACUCUCCAGCUACCAAUUGACACUGAGGUUUUCAAAGUUAGAUGGGCCAAGCAUCAUGGAAAUACGUACUCUGCAGAUUUAGUUGUAUGUGUUAAAGUUCAUUGUGACAUGCCAGU